UGUUCAUGAGUAAAAAUAAAUUAAUCACCAGUCCGCAACAAUGCUAUGCUGCAGGUCCGAAAAGUGUUGUGGGGUCAGUCACGCUUUAAACAGGUAUAAAUAUAGAGUUCGGACCGCGCAUAUCAUC